rnacentral:lncRNA from 1 species
UUGUUAGUUCUAAGUGAAUUCCCUCGGUAUGAUAAUUUGUUCAUCAGUUUGUUCCCCGUUUCUUCUCUAGCCUGAGCCUGACACACUAUUCUAGCUAGACAUGGGUGUGGCUCGUAACACCUGAUGACCAAACGGAUCUACGACACCAUCGAAUCUCAAACUUUAACUACCAAAACUAUUGUUUUUCAUCCUCUAGUCCCUUUUAGAAUUACUAAACGUCCUUUUUUGGGCCGAGAUUUCCAGGAACGCUUUCUCGGGGUUUGUGUGCAUGUAUUUCAAACCAUACAGACCUAAAAAUUAGAAGUCAUUCCAUCUUUAUUCCCGUAGAGCCUUCCAGCAGUUCCUAAACCGCUCCAGUCGGAGCAUGUUAUCAUUCUUGUUUGUUCUGAGUGAAUUCCCUCGGUAUGAUAAUUCUAUCAUCAGUUUGUUCCCCGUUUCUUCUCUAGCCUGAGCCUGGCAAACUAUUCUAGCUAGACAUGGGUGUGGCUCGUAACACCUGAUGACCAAACGGAUCUACGACACCAUCGAAUCUCAAACUUUAACUACCAAAACUAUUGUUUUUCAUUCUAUAGUCCCUUCUAGAAUUUCUAAACGUCCUUUUUUGGGCCGAGAUUUCCAGGAAUGCUUUCUCGGGGUUUGUGUGCAAGUAUUUCAAAUCAUACGGACCUAAAAAUUAGAAGUCAUUCCAUCUUUAUUCCCCUAGAGCCUUCCAGUAGUUCCUAAACCGCUCCAGUCGGAGCACGUUAUCAUUCUUGUUAGUUCAUAGUGAAUUCCCUCGGUAUGAUAAUUCUUUCAUCAGUUUGUUCCCCGUUUCUUCUCUAGCCUGAGCCUGGCACAGUAUUCUAGCUAGACAUGGGUGUGGUCGUAACACCUGAUGACUAAAUGGAUCGACGGCACCAUCGAAUCUCAAACUUUAACUGCCAAAACUAUUGUUUUUCAUCCUGUAAUCCCAUUUAGAAUUACUAAACGUCCUUUUUUGGGCCGAGAUUUAGAGGAACGCUUUGUUGGGGUUUGUGUGCAAGUAUUUCAAACCAUACGGACCUAAAAAUUAGAACUCAUUCCAUAUUUAUUCCCCUUGAGCCUUCCAGCAGUUCCUAAACCGCUCUAGUCGGAGCACGUUAUCAUUCUUGUUAGUUCUAAGAGAAUUCCCUCGGUAUGAUAAUUCUUUUAUCAGUUUGUUCCCCGUUUCUUCUCUAGACUGGGCCCGACACACUAUUCUAGCUAGACAUGGGUGUGGCUCGUAACACCUGAUGACCAAACGGAUCUACGGCACCAUCGAAUCUCAAACUUCAACUGCCAAAACUAUUGUUUUUCAUCCUGUAGUCCCUUUUAGAAUUACUAAACGUCCUUUUUUGGGCCGAGAUUUCCAGGAACGCUUUCUCGGGGUUUGUGUGCAAGUAUUUCAAACCAUACGGACCUAAAAAUUAGAAGUCAUUCCAUCUUUAUUCCCGUAGAGCCAUCCAGCAGUUCCUAAACCGCUCCAGUCGGAGCACGUUAUCAUUCUUGUUAGUUCUGAGUGAAUUCCCUCGGUAUGAUAAUUCUUUCAUCAGUUUGUUCCCCGUUUCUUCUCUAGCCUGAGCCUGACAAACUAUUAUAGCUAGACAUGGGUGUGGCUCGUAACACCUGAUGACCAAACGGAUCUAUGGCACCAUCGAAUCUCAAACUUUAACUGCCAAAACUAUUGUUUUUCAUCCUGUAGUCCCUUUUAGAAUUACUAAACGCCCUUCUUUGGGACGAGAUUUCCAGGAACGCUUUCUCGGGGUUUGUGUGAAAGUAAUUCAAACCAUACGGACCUAAAAAUUAGAAGUCAUUCCAUCUUUAUUCCCGUGGAGCCUUCCAGUAGUUCCUAAACCGCUCCAGUCGGAGCACGUUAUCAUUCUUGUUAGUUCUGAGUGAAUUCCCUCGGUAUGAUAAUUCUUUCAUCAGUUUGUUCCCUGUUUCUUCUCUAGCCUGAGCCUGGCACACUAUUCUAGCUAGACAUGGGUGUGGCUCGUAACACCUGAUGACUAAACUGAUCAAUGACACCAUCGAAUCUCAAACUUUAACUGCCAAAACUAUUGUUUUUCAUCCUGUAGUCCCAUUUAGAAUUACUAAACGUCCUUUUUUGGGCCGAGAUUUCCAGGAACGCUUACUCGGGGUUUGUGUGCAAGUAUUUCAAACCAUACUGACCUAAAAAUUAGAAGUCAAUCCAUCUUUAUUCCCCUAGAGCCUUCCAGCAGUUCCUAAACCGCUCCAGUCGGAGCACGUUAUCAUUCUUGUUAGUUCUGAGUGAAUUCCCUCGGUAUGAUAAUUCUUUCAUCAGUUUGUUCCUUGUUUCUUCUCUAGCCUGAACCUGACACACUAUUCUAGCUAGACAUGGGUGUGGCUCGUAACACCUGAUGACCAAACGGAUCUACGGCACCAUCGAAUCUCAAACUUUAACUGCCAAAACUAUUAUUUUUAAUCCUCUAGUCCCAUUUAGAAUUACUAAACGUCCUUUUUUGGGCCGAGAUUUAGAGGAACGCUUUCAUGCGGUUUGUGUGCAAGUAUUUCAAACCAUACGGACCUAAAAAUUAGAAGUCAUUCCAUCUUUAUUCCCCUAGAGCCUUCCAGCAGUUCCUAAACCGCUCCAGUCGGAGCAUGUUAUCAUUCUUGUUAGUUCUGAGUGAAUUCCCUCGGUAUGAUAAUUCUUUCAUCAGUUUGUGGCCCGUUUCUUCUCUAGCCUGAGCCUGACACACUAUUCUAGCUAGACGUGGGUGUGGCUCGUAACACCUGAUGACCAAACGGAUCUACGGCACCAUCGAAUCUCAAACUUUAAGUGCCAAAACUAUUAUUUUUAAUCCUGUAGUCCCAUUUAGAAUUACAAAAAUGUCCUUUUUUGGGCUGAGAUUUCCAGGAACGCUUUCGUGCGGUUUGUGUGCAAGUAUUUCAAACCAUACAGACCAAAAAAUUAGAAGUCAUUCCAUCUUUAUUCC